GGAUCUUGCUGCUCAUCGCUGCUGCAGACUGAGAAAGGUCUGGCGACUGGAGUGAUUUCUACAGACGCGAUACUUUAAUCCGAAGUGACGUACAUCUGAGAGUUAAUACAACACAAGUAAGGAUCUAGUCAGAAGACAACAACUCAAACGCUGGCGAAGAGGAUGGCACAACACAGAAGAGCUACCUUGUCAGGUCAGGACUCCGCGGUCUACACCCAUCUACAGGCUGGUGGCCA